rnacentral:rRNA from 1 species
ACACGCAUGACACACUGCAUAUCAAUAAGCGGAGGAAAAGAAACUAACAAGGAUUCCCUUAGUAACGGCGAGUGAAGCGGGAAGAGCUCAAAUUUGAAAUCUUCAAGGUUCUACCUUGACGAAUUGUAGUUUAUAGAAGUGUUUUCUGUUAGUAGAGUGGCAAAAGUUCUUUGGAAUAGGACAUCAUAGAGGGUGAGAAUCCCGUAUUUGGUCAUUCUUUCUAGCUUUGUGAUACACUUUCAACGAGUCGGAUUGUUUGGGAAUGCAGUCCAAAAUGGGUGGUAAAUUUCAUCUAAAGCUAAAUAUUGGCGAGAGACCGAUAGCGAACAAGUACCGUGAGGGAAAGAUGAAAAGAACUUUGAAAAGAGAGUUAAACAGUACGUGAAAUUGUCAAAAGGGAAGCGUUUGACACCAGUGCUGUUUUUUCCGAAAAUCAAUUACGAAUGUUUUGUUUUUGAGAAGUUAUGACUUCAUCGGCUUGCUUCUCUCUUUACAAAACUUUCUUAAUGCACUUUUCGGUUAACAAGUCAACAUCAAUUUCUUUUGUUGUAAAAGGGUAUGAGGAAGGUGGCUUUCUUUUCGGAGAAAGUGUUUAUAGCCUUGUACCUCUGCAAUCGGAGAGAUUGAGGUCUGCAGCGUAGAUCCUUCGGGGUUAGAUACAUUUGUGCUAAGUUAUAGCUUUUCAUAGACAACUUGUUGACUAUGCUUAAGUCUUGUAGCUUACUCGCUUAUGCUAUUUUACCUACGCUUAGGAUGUUGAGCGCAUGUCUCUCUCU